rnacentral:rRNA from 1 species
AGUGAACGCUGGCGGUAGGCCUAACACAUGCAAGUCGAACGGCAGCACAGUAAGAGCUUGCUCUUACGGGUGGCGAGUGGCGGACGGGUGAGGAAUACAUCGGAAUCUACUUUUUCGUGGGGGAUAACGUAGGGAAACUUACGCUAAUACCGCAUACGACCUACGGGUGAAAGCAGGGGAUCUUCGGACCUUGCGCGAUUGAUUGAGCCGAUGUCGGAUUAGCUAGUUGGCGGGGUAAAGGCCCACCAAGGCGACGAUCCGUAGCUGGUCUGAGAGGAUGAUCAGCCACACUGGAACUGAGACACGGUCCAGACUCCUACGGGAGGCAGCAGUGGGGAAUAUUGGACAAUGGGCGCAAGCCUGAUCCAGCCAUACCGCGUGGGUGAAGAAGGCCUUCGGGUUGUAAAGCCCUUUUGUUGGGAAAGAAAAGCAGCAGGUGAAUACCCCGCUGUUCUGACGGUACCCAAAGAAUAAGCACCGGCUAACUUCGUG